rnacentral:rRNA from 1 species
GACGACGCUGGCGGCGUGGAUUAGGCAUGCAAGUCGAACGGUAUCAUCCUUUCGGGGGUGAGAGAGUGGCGAACUGGUGAGUAACACGUAGGUUAUCUACCCUCAAGACGGGGACAACCCAGGGAAACUUGGGCUAAUACCGGAUGUGAGCAACUUUUAGUUGUUUGAAAGGUGGCGUAAGCUGUCGCUUGGGGAUGAGCCUGCGUCCUAUUAGUUAGUUGGUGAGGUAACGGCUCACCUAGGCAAUGAUAGGUAGGCGGCCUUAACGGGUGGUCGCCCACACUGGGAUUGAGAUACGGCCCAGACUCCUACGGGAGGCAGCAGUCGAGAAUAGUCUACAAUGGUCGGAAGACUUUUUGAUAGUGCGACGCCGCGUGAACGAUGAAUCCCUUCGGGGUGUAAAGUUCUUUUAUAUGUGAGCAGUGCUUCUUAUAUUAACAGUAUGGGGAGAGAGAUAUUAGCAUAUGAAUAAGCCCCGGCUAACUCCGUG